rnacentral:rRNA from 1 species
ACGCUGGCGGCGUGCUUAACACAUGCAAGUCGAACGAUGAAGCUAGAGCUUGCUCUGGUGAAUUAGUGGCGAACGGGUGAGUAACACGUGAGUAACCUGCCCCGAACUCUGGGAUAACUGCUGGAAACGGUAGCUAAUACUGGAUACGACCUACGAAGGCAUCUUCUGUAGGUGGAAAGAAUUUCGGUUCGGGAUGGACUCGCGGCCUAUCAGCUUGUUGGUGAGGUAAUGGCUCACCCAAGGCGACGACGGGUAGCCGGCCUGAGAGGGUGACCGGCCACACUGGGACUGAGACACGGCCCAGACUCCUACGGGAGGCAGCAGUGGGGAAUAUUGCACAAUGGGCGCAAGCCUGAUGCAGCAACGCCGCGUGAGGGAUGACGGCCUUCGGGUUGUAAACCUCUUUUAGUAGGGAAGAAGCGAAAGUGACGGUACCUGCAGAAAAAGCACCGGCUAACUACGUG